UUACCAACUUUCGUGGUGUGACGGGCGGUGUGUACAAGGCCCGGGAACGUAUUCACCGCAGUAUGCUGACCUGCGAUUACUAGCGAUUCCGACUUCAUGCAGGCGAGUUGCAGCCUGCAAUCCGAACUGAGGCCGGGUUUCUGGGAUUUGCUCCACCUCGCGGUUUCGCUGCCCUUUGUUGCCGACCAUUGUAGUACGUGUGUAGCCCAAGACAUAAGGGGCAUGAUGACUUGACGUCAUCCCCGCCUUCCUCCAGGUUGUCCCUGGCAGUCUCCCAUGAGUCCCCGGCAUUACCCGCUGGUAACAUAGGAUAG
rnacentral:rRNA from 1 species